rnacentral:lncRNA from 1 species
CUUGACCCGGACCUCCUCCUCUUGCAGAGGGAGAGCUCGUCCACCACCACCAUCUUGCCAAGGAUCCGCGACAGCUGGUGGAUGACGGCUUCAGACCUAGCGAUGUCCAGGAGACCAGCGAUAAGAAUCCAAGCCGUGUACAGGACAACCACCGCCAUCGGGUCGAGGAACGGCUCGGUGAUGUCGACGACGAGCUGGUUGAGGGCGAGGGUGAUCUGGCCAUUGCGGGUGGCAUAUUCGUGGCUGAGAGCGUUGGGGAAGAUCACAGUGAAGAUGUUCCCGGAUGUAGGGGUGACGAGCCAGUCCCAUUGGCGCCGGUAGAGGUGGUUGAGCUCAGCCUCGAUCAUCUCCGGGGAGGCCACCGCAUCCACCACUGUGACAAUCGCCUGCAGGGAGGGCGUCGGUGGCGGAAUGUCAUGAACCUCGAGGUGGAAGAACACCAACCCCUCGAUGCCAUGGCCGUACAUCAUGAGCUCGGAGGUCACCGGCCGGUCCGGGCAGAGAAGAGCGGGAUGGCUCGGAUCCUUGGAGAUGUAGCAACACAGAGGGUUGACACAGUUGAUUUGCGGAUGGCCCGUGAUACCACAGUCGGAGGGCAGGGGAGAUCGGAGACCGGACCCGGCGCCGCGGAUGAGCCGGGGAAUGUCGGCGAGGGGGCGCCCUGGCCUUGGCCACGACGCUUCUUUUUCUUGUUGGGGCCUUGACGACCCCUAGCCUGACCACCACCAGCGGCCCCAAAGGGGGGCGAGACAGCCGAGGCAGCCGCAUGUGGAGGCACAUACUUGUGGACCGCGGUGGCAGCCGGCUGAGCCUGGGGGCGCGGGGACGGAGGUCGGGGAAGGCAGGGAGGGGAGGAGCUGCGGCCACGCCGACGCGCAAGGGAGGGGAGCGGCGUCGGUAGCACCAGUCAUCCGAGGCCGCCGGGGGGAGCGAGAGCGGGCUCGCCACCAGAGCGGUCAGGGGAGCGACGCUCAUCCCGGCAAUCCUCCCGACCCUGCGAACGGUAGCUGAGCUCGCGCCUCAAGUCCUCUUCGUNNNNNNNNNNNNNNNNNNNNNNNNNNNNNNNNNNNNNNNNNNNNNNNNNNNNNNNNNNNNNNNNNNNNNNNNNNNNNNNNNNNNNNNNNNNNNNNNNNNNNNNNNNNNNNNNNNNNNNNNNNNNNNNNNNNNNNNNNNNNNNNNNNNNNNNNNNNNNNNNNNNNNNNNNNNNNNNNNNNNNNNNNNNNNNNNNNNNNNNNNNNNNNNNNNNNNNNNNNNNNNNNNNNNNNNNNNNNNNNNNNNNNNNNNNNNNNNNNNNNNNNNNNNNNNNNNNNNNNNNNNNNNNNNNNNNNNNNNNNNNNNNNNNNNNNNNNNNNNNNNNNNNNNNNNNNNNNNUCAUCCCACUCCAGGGGCAUGGCCGGCAGCAGAAGGAGGGAGGGGGCGUCGGGGGGGGCAGUAGAGGUUGGAGCGAGCGGGGCAGGGGAGCUAGCGGUUGGGGAGGGAGAUGAGGCGGAUGAAAACCCGCAGGGAGGCCAAAUCGACCUAGCUAGUCGGGAGGGCCUAAGGCACAUGGCAGGCCCUGGAUCUGGCGGCCGGCCCAGAAUAGACGGGCCUGGCCCAGCAACACAAGGGGCCUACGGACCGAGCCGUCCCCAGUCGCCAGGCGGCCCAGUUGGCUACGACCCAGCAACUCAAGGCCCAGGGGCAGGGCGGGGCACCCAUCCGGAGGGUUUCCCGUCAACGGGCGGGCACCACCGCCGCCGCUGCGGCUGAGCCGCCGGACAGAUCGAGCCAGGGGCGACGGAGGCCCAGAAGGACGCGGCAUCGAAGGAAGGAGGAACCAAAGGCGGCUAUGAACGGUCGAAAUGGCGAGGUCCGGGCGGUGGGGGGCGGUGCUUCUGAGGUUGGACGGGGGGUUGGCAUGUCUGUCGACAGCGAGGGCAGGAGGGCAUCCGGGGAAGGGCGCCAGGAAGUGAGUGCCGGACCCAACAAUGCCCCUGUUUAUUUUGUGAUUCCAUGAAAAGAUUGGAGCACCCAACAAUGUCUUAUUACUGUUUCGGUAUGGUACACGCUUCGAAAUUAUGAAAAAAUGUUGCAGAUAAGGUCUCAUCUAGGUGUUAACUUACCUUUUCCCUGAAUAUUGAUCAUGUACAUGCAUGCAAUUUAUCUGCUUUCCUAAACUAUUUAUUUCAGUUUUAACCAGAGGUAAAACUAACUUUGCCGAGCUUUCUUAAUUGUUGAUUCAUGUCGUCUAGGUUCUGGAACUACUUCUUCAUGAGUUUCCAUGCCCGUUUUACACAAUUCCAAAAUGAAGUUGAAAUCAUAUGCCAUACUUUUUUUUAUGUCUAUCCCCUUUUGUUUAUCCCCCAUGGUCCUUAAAAGUUUGUUCAUUUCUAUUUUUUCCAUACAAACCAGAGGAUCCCGUUCUUUGUUCGAAGAAAUUAAGGAGAAAUGCAGCUCAUUAAUCUCCAGCAAGGAAUUCAAGAAAUAUUAAAUUGCACCAUUCAUGUCCAACAAAAUUAUGGCCAGUUUUGAGUAUAGAGAAGUGUAAGAGAAGCCAUAUUAUUUUCUUGAUGUAAUGGAGAAUAAUUUGGCUCAUGCUUAUCUAAUCCGGUCUGUUAGUCCGCUCCUUUUGAUCAUUAGUUAUCAGUGCCUGAAAUUUGCGGCAUGCCUAUUUUCUCAGUGUAACCAGUCCUCUUGUCUUAAAGAGGAGCUCAAGGGAGAAGAGUGAACAAAGACGAGAUAGAAGAGAGUAGUAGUAAUUAACCCCAUUAAUUGGCAUCAUGAAUCAGAUGUUAGCUUUAGUUAACUCAUACUAUUUGCUAACCAUCUGUGUUCCAUAGUUGUCAGUGAAAGAACCAGUACAGCACGUUUUCGAUGUUAUUAGAAUCCUGGAAUUGCAUAGUGCUAAUUAUUAGAUUGGUCAGUUUACUAUGAAAUGAGGGUAAUGCUAUUUUCUUUAGCAGGUUUUUGGUUGUUAGCAAGGUUGUCUGAAUAUUAAACAACAUAGUCCUGUCCAAAAGGUGGUAUAUCUAUGAAGAGUGGAGACAAAUGGAUUGUGCUUCUUUUUAGAUAAAAGUGGUAUAAUUAGUAAGAGAAGUAUAACAGUUAUAGUCAUAUGUGACUACGAUUUAUAUGUUUGUUUUUGCCAUUUGCCUAAGAGAAUGUCACUUAGAUGUUAGCAUGUUCGGAUAUAUCUCUGCAGACAUCUGUUGUCUGUUGAGUAAUGACUGAGGAGUAUAUAACAUUGGCAAUGAUCCAGAGGAAACAAAGAACUUAGGGCCAGUUCUUUUGGGCGGCUUAAAAAAUAAGCUGCCUCUCCCCAGCUUAAAAAAUAAGCCGCCUCUAAAUUUUUUUGAGACUUCUAGAAUAUUUAUUCCAUGACUAGUUUAGAAGCCUCAACGAAUAUAGGAGGUGGCUUAUGGGAAAAGCUGGGGAGAGGCAGCUUAUUUUUUAAGCCGCCGAAAAAAACUGGCCCUUAGUGUGUAUUACUACUGUUUUAAGAAAAAAUGCGUAGGCAAAUGGGUUGGCUGUGCUCUCCAUCCUUCUAGAAUUUUCCAAAAGGAAAAGCCGGAUCUAAUGGCAUCAUGUGCCAUCAUAGCCCAUUGGACAAAUUUCGAAUAUAUUCAAAGGGAGCAGCAAAGCGUGCAUCCGCUUCUAGUUCCAAGAUGAAUACCAAGUCUAUAGUACUUCACAACAUACUCAAACUCACAUGAUCCAACUCAAAUGAAAAUCUAAAUGCAUUUAAUAAUUAUUAAUCAAACUCACAUGAUCCAACUCAAAUGAAAAUCCAAAUGCAUUUCAUAAUUAUUAGUUAGUCGGAUGCAACAAAACCAACCAUAACUCUACAUGAUCCAAUCCAAAACAAUAUUUGAACACAUCACAAUGUGUGAAUUCCUGCGUUUGUGAAUGAAGCAUAGAGUGUGUGUGUGUGUGUGUGUGUGUGUGUGUGUGUGUGUGUGUGAAGAUGUAGCAAUGGCAGGAGAGAGAUGUGUGCGUGCAACACACGAGGCAUACACCUCGUGGAAGAGAGAGACAGAGGGCGAGAAAGAUUGUAUAUAUGUGUUUUUUUAUAGAAGCAUCAAAAAUUAUGUUGGCAAACCUAUAUGCAGUAUAUUUUUGCAGCCAAGUGAGUAGUACAUUAAUUUAUUGCAUCUUUAUGAAACAACCAUUCUAUAAUUAGGCCAUAUCUUCUAAAGAGUGAAAUUAAUCACUGUCGAGAUAUGGAAGAUAUUACAUGGCAUAUAUUGUAAUGAAGAAUAAUUAAUUUCGAGGCAUGGAAGAAUCAACGAAAUUAAAGAUUUUUGAGAAAUUAGUUACUUUCGAUAUUUGGAAUUCUAAUAUAAUUCCAUAAAAAUUACAAGGGCGAAUAUUUACUCUUUGUUGUCUUAUUUGUUAAUUUAUAGACUUACCAAAUAAGAUAAUUUUUAAGAUCGUCCAUAUCUUACAAAUAAUAAUGAAUUUCAGGAAAAUAAUUUCCAUAUCUCGAAAUAAGGAAAUUUUGAUUAAAAGAUAUUCCCCAUGUAUAUGCUAUAAAUUCUAUUUAAUCAAUACUACAUAUCAAUCUUCUCUUUAAGAUUAUGCCAGCACAACAAUUUAGACGAACCAACCAAUGGGAUAAAUGAUUUCUCUUUGCAAUUUUCUUUGAGAAUCAACGAUGAUUUGGUCAGAUACUAGCGUUAAUUGUAUGCAACAUAUACACAAAUAGAUUGCAUAAAAAAUCACCAUCUUUAACAAAUAGUAUAUUUAUUUAUUGCCUUUUAAAAAAAGAUACUCCUACAUCCGAGGAUAACAUGGUAUAUAGUGCAUUCUUUUCCAUUUAUCAAAGUAAUUAAUUGUUUUGAUGUCUACAAGAUAUGUCUUGAAUGUACCACUUAUGAAUACUUCCAAACAAAGGAUGCAAGGCAUAUCAAUCUUCUAUUUAAGUUUGUGGUAAACACAAAAUUCCUUACUGCAACUUGUUAGUUUGUAGGCGAUUUUUCUAUACCAAACUCACUGCAGAUCACAAUCACGCUCGCAAAUGCCACAUGUGGCACGCCUUUUGGUACUAGUACUCUUUGUGGUUUCUUUAGAUCCCUGGGCAUCAAAGUCGACAGCAUCAAGCUAUCAUGAGUAUCCUAGGAGAUUAGCACAUCACAUACGAAUGCCAUCCUUGAAUAGCAGUUCCAAGGUCACACGCACAGGUUCUGACAGAGCAGAGGCUUCGAUCAAAGGAGUGGAAGAAAUACCACACGUAAGUUUUAAAUGCUUGUCUUAUUUUGUUUCCUUCACAAUUUUAUGCCUUAAUACUGUCAGCUGGAAGUUUCUUGCAUAACUCUUUUUUCUUGAGUAUGUCUGUUUUUUUUUUGCAUCAACUAUGCAUGAUUCUUGUUACUAUCCAAAGCAUCACAUAGAUAAGCUUCAUAGAGUUACCCAUGCGUCCAAUCAGCGUUGGGGCAAAUGCUCAUAGCAUGAGGCCAAAACCAAAGCUCUAGAUAACAAAUUCUAAUUCUAGUGAGAGUUUGUUUUUAGCAAUUGACUGUUUUUUCUACGUCCAAUAGUCAGUGUGUAUCCACCCUAGAAAUUAGAUCAGGCAUUCGGGUUCAUCACUUUAUCUUCUAAUACAUCAGCCCCAAGCCACCAGAACUACCCCAACCUCCUCCACUGCCAUGCCAUCCUCAUCGCCACAAGCCCACCACGUGGCCAAAACGCUAGUUAGUCCUUCCAGCAAAUUAUCUAGACCACUCGAUCUCCCCUCUCCCUCCAUCGCUGCCACCACCAUCCAGAUCUACCUCCCUUAGUUCGCCAGUUCCACCUCUCCUCCCUGAUUGCGUAUCUUCUAGCUUAACGUGGACCUGACCACAAUUACCCCACACUACACUUUGUACCUAUGGCGUGUCCGACUAACCUACAACUAAUCUCAGGUAACUAAUACUACUCACUAGAAAGGGUUCAAGGACAUAAUACAAGUAUUACAAAAAUAUCACCUGUGCCUAUAGUUUUUGCAAUAUACCAUUUAUACACAAAAUAUAUGUGCUCAGGCGGAUUUUUUCAUAAAAUUUGCUUUGAGGUAUCUAGAAAUUAUUAAUGAAGUAUGUAAAAAUAAUAAUGUGGUAUAAUCGGUCCAUCUAUGUGGCAUAUAUGUUCAAGAAUGCUAUCCAGAACAUAGUAGUUUAUUUCAAACUUCGAAUUAACUCACAACAUUGUCUACAGUAUUGUGCAUAUCAAUCAGGUGAAGCAGCAUAUGCUGGUACUAUAGCGACUAUGGAUGUCUAUGCUUUUCCAAAUUUGAAGAAGGGUCAAUCAAUUUCAGCCCAUAUCUCGGUGGCUGACAGCCAAACAUCGAACCAACUUGUAUCCGGAUGGGAGGUAAAAUUUGUCUCUAUAUUGCAAUCUUCAUUAGCUAUACUAGUCAUGAACAUGUGCAAUCUUCAUAUCAUCUUAGAAAAAAGAUGAUAUCAAAAGUUUUGAAUACUUUGAUAUAUAUCAUUGAAUAAAUUAGACAUAUAGAAGAAGGAUGCCUCAGAAUUAUGCAUUUCAGGUAUCUUCAUUUGUACUCCAUAAAGGCUAAACAUAAGUUGUCGAUCAUGCGGUGGGUCUAGAUUUAAUCUAAUAAUGCAUGCAAACUGAGGGUAAUUCAAGUGUUUGAAUUUAAUUCCAGAAAGGACUACAUACACACACACAUAAGCAAUUGAAGUGCCGGAAAUCCGUAGUCCAUUAUCUGAUUGUUAUGAAAGCAUGUCGCAUGGAUGCACAACCAAGUUAACUAGCAUGCAUGUACAUCCAUGUUAAUUAGCAAAUCAUAGCUCCAAAACCUUUACAUGGAACGAAAGGAAAACUAGGGAAAUUAAAUACACAUGUAUGAGUUGGGCCUAUGUUAACGAAUGUAAAAACAGUAUUUUGUGCGGGGCCCAAAAUUCACCAAAGUAUAGAUGUGUUCUGCAAAACAAUGCAUUUAUUUUUUUUAAAAGCAAACUAUAUUAAAUUAAAAUAUAAAAUACAUUAAUGUGAUGAAAGAAUAAUAAAGUUUCUUAGCAAGUUUUUUUGGCAAUAUAUAUUCAAAUAAACAUAUAAGCAAUGUUUAAAGCUAGAAUAUAAGAUUAGAAUUUUGUGCAUGCAUCUUGGAAGAAUGACAUUGCACUAAUAAAAAUAUAAGAUGGAUUGAGGAAGAAAAAAAAUUAGUGUACCUCACUAGUGUUUUAGAUUUAAAUAUUUUUUUUAAAUUCCUCAAAAUAAUUAAGAUGAUCAGAUCACGCUAGGGUGCUCUUCCUUUCCAUUUUCGAUUGACAACGUAGCAUGGAAGAAAAGACACACAUGGUAGAGAAAGAUGCAUAAGUAGGAGACAAUAAGAGAUGCAAACAUGUGAAUGCGAAAUUCAAAUGAUAGAUAUAUUUAUUUUAAGAUAAUGCUUUUCACAAAAGGUGUAUUUCGAUAAUAUGAAAGGUUCAUCGAAGGCAAUAAUAAAUGAGAUGUGAAUUAGGAACAACCAAAGAUGGAUGCAUGUGUAAUGAUUACAUACAGGGCAUGCAUGGAAUUAGGUAAUAAGGAUCAGAGAUCUACGUCAAAUAAUUUAUGUGUGCGACGGAGCAUAUAUCAUGAAGAAAGUGAAGAGAUGUUGUGGCUACAUUACUAAAGGUUUAAGCAAGAAACCAUGUGAAGUGGCUAAAAAAACAUCUCAACCAGGUUAAAAUAUUAAUAAAGAAAAACAAGCUCGAUGCGAUAAAAAUAAGCAGAACCAAAGCAUCUGUUUACAAAGUGCCGACAUUGAAGAGUAGAAGAGAGACAUAAGUAGACUACAAAUAAGGCACAUGAACAUAGAGUAAAAUGAUAUGGCAGGUGCAUUUCUUUUCAAACAUAAUUUUCACAAAAAUCAAAUUUAAUUAUUAUUUUAGUACUAAAAUAGCACACUAAUCAAAUACAUACACUGUAAUGCAAUUAAUGAUCAAAGAGAACACAAGAUUUAGUUACGAAUAAUCAAUCUACGGAUUUAAUUCUAUGUGGAGAUUUUUGGAAGAAUCAUUGGUGAAAAUCAGACAUGGCAAAAACAAACCUCAAGGCUAUCAAUUUUUGGUUGUCAAACUCAUGGUCAAUUCCAACAACUAAUACACGCAAUGAAAGGACUUAUGCCAAAAUAUAUUCACGUGUUAUGGAAACAUACUUUUGGCUCAAAAAUACCUAUACCAUUUAUAUGUAAAAAGGUAAUAAAACAAUUAAGUAAUUAAAUAAAAAUACAAUUGGAGACCUGGGAUAAUAACGCGUAAAAAAAAUACCGAAUGUAAAGGAUGGAGGAAAUCUAGCUGGAUAAAUGUGCGUGUCAUCUUCCUAGAUAGUAUAUAUGGUUAAAGUGUAAAUUUCACUGGACUGUAUUCCUGUAGCUGUAGUUUCUUAGCAAGAAUAUUUUCCAACAGUUUCUAUCUCGACCAUUUUAACAGUGUUUGUAAACAGUAGUGUUCCUCAAAUCAACUGAUGUCACAAACGCCAAAAUACAGCUUCUUCACUUGAAAACAAGAAAUUUGUCGCUGUGUAGUGGACUCACGUUUAGGCUGGUCAUAGUGGGAAGUAAGUUAAACUAGUAACAUGCAUAUGUUACUAGUCUAUUUACGGCCUUGUUCAAUUACCUGCAUAUAUUUUUUAUUUUUGAGAACCGAGAUGCAUGUGUGCAACCUUUCAAUAAUAUCGUCUGGCUCCGGCACUGAGGAUCGAUGUCUUCCGCCAACCACGUGAUGUAGAACUUGUGACUUGUGGUGCGUGCAAGGAUGCUAGGCUUGACAUGGUCAUUCGUUGGCAGGUGUGGUCAGGUCUUUCAUGAUGAUGAGAAUUUUAGUAUUUGAAAGAAGUAGAGAAAGAAUACAGGGACCGGUAACCUUCUCGCGUCGCUCCCCCCGCGAGCAACCGAGGGGGCAACCCUAGCCGCCGGCGCCUCAGGUUCCCUGUCCCUCUUCUCCCCUCGCCGCCGCCGGUCCGCGCCGCCGGGCAAAGCCCGGUAGGUGCUGGUAGGUGAUGGCGGCGGCGGGGCCCCAUCUCCUCCUCGCACGAGGGCUCGGUGCGGGCGGGCAUCCUCGGGCGGCGGCGGCGCGCGGGCAGGUCCGGCGGCGGUGCUGCGGUGCCUCGUGCUGCGCAUGGACGGCCGGACACGGCGGGGGCUGCGGGAUCACCCGGAGGCGACAGGUACGGCAGCGUCCCUUGCCUAUGCGGCGGUGGCUGGAUCCAUGGCCGGCAUGGUGCUCUUCCCCUCGGUGGAGUCUAUGCCUAGAGAUGGGUGACGGAAGCCGCGGAUCUGGCGUCCCGUCCAGAUCCGCCCCGGCGUGGCAACUGGUGGCGCGUGGAGGACCGGCGAGGGGCGGCUGGAGGCUCCCUGCCGGCGUGCCGACGGCGGCUUCACGGCGAAGCUCCGUUCGGUUUCAGUCAGCUGCGAGAUCGGGGGGCCGUGAUUUCCGGUGAAAAUCGCGCCGACUAUGUUCGGUUCCCUUCUUGAGGCAUCGUUGUUGUAGGUCAUGGCUCCCCACUCGUGAUGCUCCGGGAAAAACCCUAGAUCUAGGUCUACCGGAUCGGAUGAUGAUGGCACUUUCGAUGUUGUUGUCCCUUCUGGGGGCAUCGUUUUGGAGCACGUGCUGGCUGGAGGGGACAAGAGGAGGAGCGGUGUUACAUCUACCGCAAGACCGACGGCGGAUCCCGGCGGCAUGGCGCCGCGGAGGUUCAGCGAUGGGUGCGUAUUGGAGAUGGACUCGCGCAGGAGGAGGAAGUUGUCUGGCGUCAUGGUGGCAUUGAUCGCAGAGAGGCCUAUCAAGGUCGGUGCAUCAGUUCUGCUCUGAGGAUGGACCGAGGAAAGAUGGAAGCGACGGCCCUUGCAGCAUGCGGCGCUCACUGGGAGUGUGCCAGACCGGUGUGGGACUCAAUUUAGGUAGUGGCUUGGAUGGGACACCCGGCUUUAGAUGUUAGGCUUUGGUAUGAUGUUUGUUUGGUAUUAGGCCCGGACAUUCGGCACACCUUCAUCAAGAUGAUAGGAGUAGCAACAACGUUGCCAAGAUGGUGUCUUCAGGCUUAUUGAUGUAUCACCUUGUAUGGCUUUGUAAAUAAUUAAUAAUAUGGCUGCAUGCAUCGUCCAGAUACAGAGGCCAGGGUACAUCCUCCUUUUUUUUUAAAAAGGAAAGAAUACAAAAACUAAGUCGUUGCCUUCAUUCAUUUCCGUGUACUGUACUACGCAACAACUGCAUUGGUAUGGCGACACAAGUUGCACUGCUAGCUGCCAUGUUAAAAACUCGCAGGGGUACGAAGGUGCGGGGGCACACUCGAUUCGCGAAGUAAUUAGAUCCCGCAUAAGAGCAUAAUAAAUUUUAAGUUUCAAUCGUUGAAACUUCUGAGUUUUCAACUGAAACUUGCGAUCUUCUCACUCCCUUUUACCAAGUUUUAUAGAUAAAAUUAUAAGAUAUUUUUUCUGUCAGUCAUGGAUAUAAAAAUUGAGUUUCUCAUACUAAGUUUCAUGAGUUGAAACUUAAUGUUUAUUUUCAAAAUUCGACAAAAUAUACUUAAAAUGAAUCUUAUUUGAAAGUCCUCAUCCAGAGAAACACAAAUGUGAAAGCGGAACUUAAUUUGAACUAAAGAUAUAAAGUUUUAAAAUCGAGAGCCGAAAAUAAUAGCACGCGUGCUCCAAGUCCUCUCCCACUGCCAUGCAUGCUUUUGACUAUCACCUACCCGCUGGCAUUGCAUGUGCAUGGAAAGGAGGGGUAUAACUAAUUGAUGCAAAAUUACUAAUCCUUUUGCGCAGCUAGAGGAACAAUUCCGUGAGUCGGCCAGACACAUAUAUAAUUCUGAAUUCAAGCUGUUGCUGCAUAAUAUUGUGUUUGUUAGUCAUAGACGUGGUACUCAAAGUUUUAUGUCCCUUGGCUAAUCCUAGCGGCAAACUCAAGACCUCACGGCAAAUAUUCAUAUGGUCUGGAUUAAUGUUGUUGACCCAUUUAUAAAGAAGUCAACCCAUUUCCUUUUACAGAUUGAUCCAGAUCUAUAUGGUGAUAGCAAAACACAUUUCUUCGUAUACUGGACGGUAUGAUGUGAUCAAUUCACAAAUUUCAUUUCAUAAUACGAAGACUGCAUUUAACUGAUAUGUUCUUGAAAUGUGUUUUUAAUUUGAACGGAAGACUGAUAGGAAGAAUGGAUGUUCUAACUUGGAUUGUGACGGCUUUGUACCUGUAAACUUGGCUACUAUUACUCCCGGAGAUACUUUGGAGCCAUCUCGUGGACACAUGAAUAUUACAUUGAAGAUAUUUAAGGUAUGAUUUUCAAAACACGGUAACCCUAUCAGUCAUACAGACGUAAUCCUUUUUUGGAGAUCGCGUAAUAGUUUGCACAUGCUUAUAUUAUUAUUUAGCAUCAAGGUAUCAAAAUUGACUUCCAAAUGAAGCCGGAAUAAUACUAUGUCCAUCUUGAAAUACAUUUUUUUCAAAACUCAACUAUUUCUAUCAGUAACAAUUCAAUAGAAAAAUACCGACAUCUAUAAGACCAAAUUGAUAAAAUAUGAAAAAUAUAUUGUAAGAUGGAUAUUUUUUACAAAUUAUUUCACGAUGAGCCUAAUGAUACUUUUGGUAUUGUAGAUAUUGAUGUCUUUACCUGUAAACUUGGUCAAUUGAAAAGUUGAACUUUUCAAAAAAUUAAACAUCAUUUAUGUUUUCAAAAUGAAGGGAGUAUGCCUGUUUUUUUGCCGUUGUAUUUGAGUAUGUUUUGUUGUGGCUGACAGGUCAUGUAACUAUCUUUUUACAUUGAUAUUGUAGAGUAAAGAAGAUGGAGAUUGGUGGCUACACUUUGGACAUGAUAUCAAUAAUCUUAGCCCAGUAGGGUAUUGGCCAAAAAGUCUUCUCAAUGGCAUGCAAGACCAUGCCGACGAUAUAGAAUGGGUAGGAAGUACUUUUUCCUUCUCCGGGGAGAUUAGUCCACUGAUGGGCAACGGGCACUGGCCAAGAAGCAAUUCAGCAGCAUCUUUUCGGAAUGUUCAGUAUAUUGAUAGGAAUGGUAAAGGUUAUGAUCCUCCUAUGGGUAGUCUUCAUGCUUUUGAGAGCCACAAACAAUGCUAUCGGACUGGUGUAUUUCAGCUUCAGGUCCAAGGCAACAUGUUCUACUAUGGGGGCCCAGGUGGUUGCACUGGUUAAUUAGAUUAAUUUUGAAUGACAAUAACUCCAAUCUAGCUUGUAUUUCAAAAAUAAUCUGGCGAAAGAAAUUGCUUUAGUUAAUCUGAUGUUUUCGUUAUGUGCCCCCUUUCAAUGUAUGCUCACAGUUAUAUGCAAUUCAAUUUCCAUAUAGCCUAUACGACAAAUGCUCGCUAGAGAAAGAAGAUAAGAGAGUUAUCACAUUUCAUAUGCAAGUGGAUAUUCUUGCAUGCUCCCGCACAAAGAAGUUUUUUCAUGAAUGUUGUGAUGUCAAUGAGGUUAGAAAUCAACAAAGGGAUUUCUUUUCAUGGUGGGGUGAAAAAGAUUUGCUUGUCGUUUUAAGAUUGGAAGCGAGAAAUUUAUAGGAAGAAAUACACUAGGACUUAACCACCUGCACACAAACACAUAAACUUAUCCUUCUAGCCUACCCGCAGCCAGUUGGGCAGCAUUUCACAAAUCAACAUCAUCGAUCCUAAUUUCUAAGGGUUUUUUUUCAAACUAGCUGCCACUAUCAGGAUUCCAAUCCUAAAUAAAUGUCGAUAUUGUUUGCAAACUGGAGUAGCUCAACGAACAACAAUUAAAUCACCCAUUCAAUCGACUAAUCCUAAUUGCUAGGGUUUGAUUAGAGACGUACCUGUUGCCCAACUAUAUCGGAUGGUUCUUGUGGGCUGCGACGUACACCGUUCCGCUUUGCCAUCAGAGCUCAGGCGGACGGUCGGAGUGGGCAGCGGGGCUGCUAGGGCACGACGGACGGUCAGAGUGGGCAGCGGGGCUGCUAGGGCACGACGGCAGCGGGGCUGCUAGGGCACGGCGGACGGGCAUAGUGGGCAGCGGGGCUGCUAGGGCACGGCGGUGGUGGGACUGCAAUGAGAACAGCGGCGGCUGUUGGGUGGGGAUGCGGCUGCUCGCUCAGGGUUGGGCUAUUUUAGGCAAAAGAAAGCGAUAGCUCAUCGAGCCCAGGUCCCACUCGUCAUAAGCGGUCACGGCCACGGUCCACCUGCCAUUCGCGGCCCACAUGUCCAAAGAACUGAGGCCCCACACGUCAAUAAUUGAGGAGGUAACGGUCAACUGCAUUGACCUGGCAGCAAGGCUCCGUUUGGGAUUUUGUGAGAAUGGGCCGAGUGGUGGAAGGCAAAGGUGAGGAAAGUUAGAUGCUAUGGGCAAAACUAAGCACAACUAAGGAAGGGAGGGGCACAUAAAUAGAUAUCCCAUUAUGGAAUAAUCACUUUGGUGGCUAAGGUACAAGAUGCUAGACAAUUCAAAAAAUUAAUCCAAUCUAUCUGCUCAAUGUUAGCUUUAAAAUCAUUACUGAAGUUUUGAUGAACAGAUUGAGCAGUUUGAUCAAGCCCAUUAUUUCCCCUACACAAACUACCUUUAUUAAAGGGAGAUAUAUUAUGGAGGGGAGGGUGGUGCCACAUGAGGCCCUAAAUACUAUCCAUCAUAAAAAAACAAAGUGCACUCUUAUUCAAGGCGGACUUUGAGAAGGCUUGUGAUAAGGUAAAAUGGCCAUUUUUUUUACAAAAUGCUGAAAUUAAAGAAUUUUCCUGGUCAAUGGUGUGACCUGAUGAUGCACACUAUGACUGGUGGACAUGUGGGAGUCAAGGUAAAUGAUAUGACUCAUAAAGAGCUGAGACAAGGGGAUGUCAUGUCUCCCUGCUAUUUGAUUUAGCUGUUGAUGUCUUGACCAUCAUACUAGAUAAAGCCAAACAAAAUGGUUUUGUUAAAGGGGUAAUGUCUGAGUUUGGUAAUAAUGGUGUGAACAUGCUUCAUUAUGUAGAUGAUACCAUAUUUCUUAUACAAGAUGAUGAAGAAAGUGCCAGAAAUUUAAAAUUCAUUCUCAGUGCAUUUGAACAGAUAUCAGGAUUGACUAUUAAUUUCCACAAGAGUGAGAUAUUUUGUUUGGUGAGGCUAUUAAUAAAGCAGAAAAAUAUCAGGAAAUUUUCACUUGUGAGCUUGGGAAAAUGCCAUUGAAAUACCUAGGUUUACCUGUUUCUGAUGUGAGGCUAGGGAAUAAGUUUUGGAAGACUGUUACUGAGAAAAUUGAAAAAAAGAUGUGUCUAUUGACAAGGGAGAUUAUUAAAUAUAGCAGGUAGAGUGACCUUGGUCCAGUCCUGCCUAUUUAACAUACCCAUAUAUGUGAUGUCUUUUUUAUCCCUUACCUGCUGGAAUUAAAAAAAUGAUUUCUUCAGAGCUAGACUGGUCUGGCAAGAAAAUGAGGACAAGAAGAAGUAUCAUUUAGUCAACUGGAAAACCUGCUGCCUCCCAAAAAACUUGGGGGGGGGGUAGGGAUCUUAAAUCCAGAUCUUAUGAAUAAAGCUUUGCUAGCUAAAUGGUUUUGGUAACUUGAAAUUGACGAAGGAAUCUGGAUUGAUAUAUUACUUAACAAAUAUGUGAGUGGCAAAUGCAUUUCUGGCAUUAGAAAAAAAAACAGAAGAUUCUCAGUUUUGGGGCAGCCUCCUGCAGUUUAAAAAUCUUUAUUAUCAACAUAUUAAGAAGCGGUUGGGUGAUGGGAGGCACACUAGGUUUUGGAAAGAUUGGUGGGUAGGUUCCAAACCUCUAAAGAAGGCCUAUCCUAGCUUAUACAACCGGAUAGUUUACUGAUUUAUUUUGCAGAUAAAGAACCCAGAGCAAAGCUACUGAUGCUAGGGGAAAAUAAUCAAGCGGGUGGCAAAUGAAAUCUAUCACGCGUCGCAGGGCUGGAGACCAGGAGUGCAAAGAUUGGAAAACUGGAAAAAAAAGAUAGGUGAUAUUUCCUUCAUCUAUCGUGGCGAUGAUGGAUGUGAGCUACCUAUGUAUCUUACCUUCUUCAGCGUUUUAUGUCUAAUGCGUCUGCUGCUUUCGUCUAGACUUUGUUUAUUGCUUUCAAUCCGCAGGUUGCGCCCCCGUCGUGUGUGGAUUAUGUUCUGUUAUGUCGUCUAAACCUUUGCACUUAUCUAGCUUCUGGUAGAUUAAGUAUGUUCUAGCCUAGAUUUGUGAUGCUCUCUUCGUCGAAAAAAACUUGUCCCAAGCUUGUGCCGGAUACAUUCAUUUGAGAGACAAACUUUUUCGGACGGAGGAAGUAUAUGAUGUGCUUUUGAUGGUUUCGUUAAUAAAAUCGAAGGGACCCCUCUUUUGAUUAAAAAAGAAAAAGAAAAUCGAUUGAAAGUGUUUCAUAAAAAAAAGGUCACACAAGAGUCCCCAACGGGUCAUCUCUGAUCAGACCCUGGGUCCCCGACCCCUUUGUCAACACGAACAAACGCGACAGGGAGGGGAAAAAAAAUCUUAUACGACCGGGUCAGGGAGAGAGAGGAGAGCAGAGAGGGGAAGGCGAUGGGGGCGGCGAAGAGAAGCGGGGGUGAGAAGGGGCUCCUCUGGAGGCUGCCGGAGGUCACCUCAAGGGAGCUCGGCAAGAUCGGCCCCGCCUUCGGGCUCGGCAUCGGCUGCGGCGCCGGCGCCGGAGUCGGCUUCUUCGGCGGUAAAACCCUCCUCCUCCUCCUCCUCCCCCUUCCUGUACAGUCCAACCUUCGUUUUGUGCUCCUUUCUCCUGCUCCUUGUUUCCGCGUUACCCUGCGCUCUUGACGGGCUGAUUGAUUCGGCGGGUUGUGCUACUUGAGCGCCAUAUGCUUCCCGUGCCCUGCUUUCUGUCUCGUUGGUUGAUUGGAUGGUUAUUGCCAGGUUCAGAUGCUCCUGUCCUCCACGGUUCAAAAAUAUUGCUAAUUGCUAGUAGUUCUGUUCAGAUUAUAAUUCGUUUUGAAGUUAGCCAGGAUGGGGUUUAAUAGAGCAGGGCUAGGGUUUGCUCUAGGACUCAUCUGGUUAGAGCAGCCUCAUUAGGGAGGCAUAUAUAUAUAUAGGCAUAUGACACAAAUUUCUUAAUGGGGAUGUUUACACAGAUUGGGAUAAUUUUGUUUUAAUGCAUCGGCUGUAAUUUUAGAUACUUAUGGCUUGUCAAGUGGUAUAACAACAUUGGCCUUGGAUGUAUGACAAUUUGGCUUCCAACGGUUUAGCCAAGGUUUAUCCUAAUUACUGCGCCCAGAUAGUCCACUUGCCUGUAUCAUUAAACUUUCUGACAAAUACAGUGUAGACUGAAUAGCAUGCUGGCCACUUGAACUCUGAGAAUUUAAGAUUUGUCAUCCAAGACAUUCACAUCAUCACAAGGGACACCAAUGCAUACAUAGCUAAAAUAUCAUUAAGGCAGGAUCAAUGGUAUGAAAAUUAUUGUAGUUUUAUUUUCUGUAAAUGUUAAGGCAUGUAUUAUAAGUGCUGUUCAAAGUGUAUUAUUCAACACUUGGGGCCCAUUUUAAAAUUUUGAGCAACCAAAACUUUUAACUUUUCUUACUUUGUUACUUUAGAUAAUUGUAGAUGUAGUGUGUAAAGAAGUAAGCAUGACGACGCAAGCAAGAAUAUUGAUCUAUUCAAGUGGUUAGCUAUUACUGAAUAACACUUCAGUAAUUCUGCUAGGUAUGCCAUACUCAAUUUGGUAUAUUUCUUGUAUGAAAUUUAUAAAUUCUGAAAGUUAUGUGUACUCCCUCUAUAAAGAAAUAUAAGAGCGUUUAGAUCACUAAAGUAGUGAUCGAAACACUCUUAUAUUUCUUUACGGAGGGAGUAGUUGUUAAAAGUGUGAUCAUUGAAUGGUAUAUCACAUGGUGAGAUCUAUUCUUUUGCUCCCUUGUAGUUUGCUACUCCCUCCGUUCCUAAAUAUGAGUCUUUUUAGAGAUUUCAAUAUGGACUACAUACGGAGCAAAAUGAGUGAAUUUACACUCUAAAAUUUGUCUACAUGCAUCCGUAUGUAGUUUAUAUUGAAAUAUUUAAAAAGACUUAUAUUUAGAAACGGAGGGAGUAUCAGAAAUAUAAGUUAGAAGAAUGCUUGCAUAUUUAUUUCCUUGCAUUGAAUAAUUUUAAGAUGGCAUACCGACAAGUUUUGUAAUGUCGUAAAAAUGUUGAGCUCUUUUUUUCCAAAGCUAAUCCAUCUAUUAUAUACAGUUCAUUGAUUCAUUGGAAUCUCCUCCCUCCCCUACUGUUUGUCUAAUUUUUUAAUGAACUCUGUAUAAUUUUAUUUUUUCAUGAAUAAUGUAGGUGCAGGAUUAGGUUAUGGAUUUCCUGGACUCACUUUAGGCUUCGGAGUUGGAGCUGGCUGCGGUAUAGGAUUUGGUUUUGGUUAUGGCUUGGGCAAAGGAAUUGCUCAUGAUGAAAAGAAAAGACAUUCAAACGUUGGUAAAAUGUUCCAGGAAACUCCAAAUCUGCCUAAGUAAGUACUGUGUGGGCAUGAAAUAUUUAGAGUGAUUUGUGCAACAGACAUUUCUAUACGUGCUAUGCCUUGUUGCCUAACCUUGUAAUAUCUAUAAUCUUUGAAGUUUUUACUCUAGUUACAGCUGGUCAUGUAAGUGAAUUUGGAAGAACAGCAAUCUGGAGGGUAAAGUGGAAUUAUUAUCAACUGGCUUGAAACAAACACUCCCAGUAGUUGAUAAAAGACAAGAGAAAAUUGACUUGUGCUUUUUUAUUGAUAUUGUCUGAACUUUUAAAAUACGUAGCUUACCAAAUGAGAUUGGAGAAAGAACCUUAAAGAAGCUUGCUUAUGCUUUGAAAUGAAAAGAUAUCUUCAAGCAGUACCACGCAUAAUAGUUAUGGCAGUUUGACUGGAAUAACCCUGAAGAAGAGCUUUAUUCAGUAUUGCAGUGUGAAAGGCAAAAGGAAGAAAAUGAACAGAGUGGUCAAUUCCAUGCCAGAGCCAAAUCUAUUUUAACUUAAGCUCCAUCCUUGCCCACAUUUGGCAUUACAAUAUGACCUUAUAAGUUAUGUUAUUGUACCGUAACAUCUUAGCACGUAGGGGUGUUCAAGUACGGGUUGAUCCCAACCCGUCCAAAACUGGCUGUGAAGCCAUAGUUCAUUUUCCUUCUUUCCAUGUGAUGUCAGCAGUGGUGCCAUUUCGAAAAUUUAUAUGCGAUGGUUCACUAAUGACUGGUUGAACUGAGACCAUUUUUGAACACCCCUCUAUUAGCUCUACUUGUUUCGUCCAGACUCAUAAACAAUACACAUAUUAUAGGCAUGCAACACUUGAUGACUUGAACGCCUAAAAUGAAGUGGAAAUAUUUAGCGAUAAGUGCAAACCAUGGAAAACCACACCAAUUUUUUUGUGUUCCUCACUGAACAUUGUAAAAUGGCAUUUCUAUGUGAACUAAUACUAACCUAAUGAUUGCGUCAUGUCUUGUUGAAACGGUCCUGAAAAUCCGAAACGGUGUAAAUUGCCUGGAGGAAUCUAAUCACACAACCUAAUCCCUGAAGCCUAAACCCACGAGCUUUUAGAGGACUAGUACAGACUCUUCACAAUCUCAUUCUCUAUCAGGAUGGUAACAGGUGCAACAGUGGGAUAUUUGAAGUGACAUCCAAGUAUCUCGUGUACGCAUAAUGUAACUAUGCCCACAAAAACAAACAAAAAUAGCAUCUCAUUCCUGACUCCUGACAUAAACUACAAUAUCACACUCUGCUAUUACUCUUUCUGAUAGCAUGAGGGUUUCGAAUAAAUAGACCUGGUAGAAUGUUACAGAAAACAGAUUUGUUAGUAUUAAUUUCAGAAUUUGAGCUACUUCAGCACUAAUUGUUUGAGAUUUUGUUUUAUGUGCAACAAAAACUGCAUUUUUUGUCGCAUUAGACAUAAUUUAAUCAGUUUUGUUUUGUCAUGGUUAAAAAUCAAGUUGAGGUCCCAACACUACUCAUUCCUCUCUCAGUUAAUGCGCAUGUGUUUUACUGCAGUAAACAACAACAACAACAACAACAAAGCCUUUAGUCCCAAACAAGUUGGGGUAGGCUAGAGGUGAAACCCAUAAGAUCUCGCAACCAACUCAUGGCUCUGGCACAUGGAUAGCAAGCUUCCACGCACCCCUGUCCAUAGCUAGCUCUUUGUUGAUACUCCAAUCCUUCAGGUCUCUCUUAACGGACUCCUCCCAUGUCAAAAUCGGUCGACCCUGCCCUCUCUUGACAUUCUCCGCACGCUUUAGCCGUCCGCUAUGCACUGGAGCUUCUGGAGGCCUGCGCUGAAUAUGCCCAAACCAUCUCAAACGAUGUUGGACAAGCUUCUCCUCAAUUGGUGCUACCCCAACUCUAUCUCGUAUAUCAUCAUUCCGGACUCGAUCCUUCCUCGUGUGGCCACACAUCCAUCUCAACAUACGCAUCUCCGCCACACCUAACUGUUGAACAUGUCGCCUUUUAGUCGGCCAACACUCCGCGCCAUACAACAUUGCGGGUCGAACCGCCGUCCUGUAGAACUUGCCUUUUAGCUUUUGUGGCACUCUCUUGUCACAGAGAAUGCCAGAAGCUUGGCGCCACUUCAUCCAUCCGGCUUUGAUUCGAUGGUUCACAUCUUCAUCAAUACCCCCAUCCUCCUGCAACAUUGACCCCAAAUACCGAAAGGUGUCCUUCCGAGGUACCACCUGGCCAUCAAGGCUAACCUCCUCCUCCUCACAGCUAGUAGUACUGAAACCGCACAUCAUGUACUCGGUUUUAGUUCUACUAGGCCUAAACCCUUUCGAUUCCAAGGUUUGUCUCCAUAACUCUAACUUCCUAUUUACCCCCGUCCGACUAUCGUCAACUAGCACCACAUCAUCCGCAAAGAGCAUACACCAUGGGAUAUCUCCUUGUAUACCCCUUGUGACCUCAUCCAUCACCAAUGCAAAAAGAUAAGGGCUCAAAGCUGACCCCUGAUGCAGUCCUAUCUUAAUCGGGAAGUCAUCGGUGUCGACAUCACUUGUUCGAACACUUGUCACAACAUUAUUGUACAUGUCCUUGAUGAGGGUAAUGUACUUUGCUGGGACUUUGUGUUUCUCCAAGGCCCACCACAUGACAUUCCGCGGUAUCUUAUCAUAGGCCUUCUCCAAGUCAAUGAACACCAUAUGCAAGUCCUUCUUAUGCUCCCUAUAUCUCUCCAUAAGUUGUCGUACCAAGAAAAUGGCUUCCAUGGUCGACCUCCCAGGCAUGAAACCAAACUGAUUUUUGGUCACGCUUGUCAUUCUUCUUAAGCGGUGCUCAAUGACUCUCUCCCAUAGCUUCAUUGUAUGGCUCAUCAGCUUAAUUCCACGGUAAUUAGUACAACUCUGAACAUCCCCCUUGUUCUUGAAGACUGGUACUAAUAUACUCCGUCUCCAUUCUUCUGGCAUCUUGUUUGCCCGAAAAAUGAGGUUGAAAAGCUUGGUUAGCCAUACUAUCGCUAUGUCCCCGAGACCUUUCCACACCUCAAUGGGGAUACAAUCAGGGCCCAUCGCCUUGCCUCCUUUCAUCCUUUUUAAAGCCUCCUUCACCUCAGACUCCUGGAUGCGCCGCACAAAACGCAUGCUGGUCUCAUCAAAGGAGUCAUUCAGUUCAAUGGUAGAACUCUCAUUCUCCCCAUUGAACAGCUUGUCGAAGUACUCCCGCCAUCUAUGCUUAAUCUCUUCGUCCUUCACCAAGAGUUGGCCUGCUCCGUCCUUGAUGCAUUUGACUUGGCCAAUAUCCCUCGUCUUCCUCUCCCGGAUCUUAGCCAUCUUAUAGAUGUCCCUUUCCCCUUCCUUCGUGCCUAACCGUUGGUAGAGGUCCUCAUAUGCCCGACCCCUUGCUUCACCAACAGCUCGCUUUGCGGCCUUCUUCGCCAUCUUGUACUUCUCUAUGUUGUCUGCACUCCUAUCCAGGUAUAGGCGUCUGAAGCAAUCUUUCUUCUCUUUAAGCGCCUUCUGGACAUCAUCAUUCCACCACCAGGUAUCCUUAUCUUCGCUUCUCCUUCCCCUGGACACUCCAAACUCCUCCGAGGCCACCUUACGAAUGCAAGUCGCCAUCUUCAUCCACACAUUGUCCGCAUCCCCUCCUUCCUCCCAAGGGCCCUCCUUAAAUACCCUCUCCUUGAACACCUGAGCUACCUCCCCCUUGAGCUUCCACCACUUCGUUCUAGCGACCUUGGCACGCUUAUCCCGCUGGACACGAAUCCGAAAGCGGAAGUCAGCAACCACCAGCUUAUGCUGGGGUACAAUACUCUCCCCAGGUAUCACCUUACAGUCUAGGCACGCACGCCUAUCUUCUCUUCUCGAGAGGAUGAAAUCAAUCUGGCUAGAGUGUUGGCCACUACUAAAAGUCACCAGAUGUGAUUCUCUCUUUCUAAAGAGGGUGUUAGCUACAAUCAUGUUGUAGGCUAGAGCAAAGCUUAAGACAUCUUCUCCUUCUUGAUUCCUGAUGCCAUAGCCAAAGCCCCCAUGCGCCCCUUCAAAACCUGUGUUAGAUGUACCCAUGUGGCCAUUCAGGUCUUCUCCUAUGAAGAGCUUCUCACCAAUCGGUACACUCCUAACCAUGUCUUCCAAGCCUUCCCAGAACUCCCUCUUGGUGUUCUCAUUGUGGCCUACUUGCGGGGCAUAUGCGCUGAUAACAUUGAGAACCAAGUCCUCAGCUACCAGCUUGACCAGGAUAAUCCGGUCCCCACGUCUCCUGACGUCUACCACUCCAUACUUGAGGCUCUUGUUGAUCAAGAUGCCUACGCCAUUUCUGUUUGCAGCCGUCCCCGUGUACCACAGCUUGAAGCCGGUAUCCUCCACCUCCUUCGCCAUUGGGCGGGCUGUGUUUUACUGCAGUAAUAUGCCAAUAUUCUUUUUCUGAAAAUUGUAGUAUAAAAUAGAACAUAAUUUGAUUUGAUGUUUAUUUUGAAAUCUUGAAGAUCUGUGCAAGUUCUCUGUUUGUGAUGAGAAGGAAAUUAAGUAUUAUCUCACCCUAUCUUUGUUUCUCAUGGCUGAGAUUCGUCAAGUUGCUACCUUAUGGCAUUUGCCACACCCAGAAGAUAACUUCAAUUUGCAUGCAAAAGAAUGUGUAUUGUUCCAUGGUUGCUCACCCUUUCCUCCUCUUCUCUAUUCCAGGGACACCAUUGCCGGUUUAUUUGACGAGUUGGUUGUAAACACCAAAAAGCUUGCCACCGCAACUUCAAAACAGAUUGAAAAAUGGCACUGAGCUGCACCCCCAGAUGGCUGCUGCUAUUUGCUAUCUUAGAUGGUGAUUAGUUGGAUAGAGACUACUGUGUCACAUUAAUAUCCCAUUUUGAACAUUUGUAAGUAGGUUUGUAUUCAAGUAGGGUUCUGACAUUAUGCUAUAGGGCUUGUUUGAAAUUCUCAAAAUGUUGAACAUUGUGGUAGUUAAGAAAGAAAGUUCGAACCGAUGGAUGCUUCUUAUGAUCGUUGUACAUGUCGGGUUAUGUUCUGUUACUGGUUUUGCUCAUCUCAUCUGUUAAAACUUGAGCCUGAUUUGGUGCUGUCAAAUUGUGAUGGAUCUCUGGGGGUGUGUGUGGUCUGGAACUCUUGUCUUGGUUCUCUCCAUCUCUCAUUGGAUAUCUGUCCCUAUCUGUUAUGUUUGGACCAAUUGGUAUCUCAUGGCUCCUGAUAAACGAGAUAACAAGCGGCCCUAAUGGUGCCACAUCAGCACCCUCAUCUGCCAAGUCAGCACAGCCCGCCCAAUCAGGCCCAAGCAACAGAUAGCCCUCCUGAAUACUGAGCCAAUCACAGCCCCCUCGGCCUAUCCUUCAUGGGCCCACAACAUCCUCCAAUCCUCAUUUCCAUCCAUUUAAACUACACCACAUUUCCCUCCACAACCACCCAUCACAUCCUCCCUUCUUGCUGAGCUGAGCACGCCCCUUCUCUCUCAACUUUGGGCUGAGGCAAUGGCGGCGCUCGCUCCGACGAAGAUGCUCGGCACCCGGCUCAACUUCGCCGGAUCCUCCAGGUAUGCCACAGCGGCACCAACUGCUGGCGCACAGAAGAUCGUCUCCCUCUUUGAUCGCUUCAAGAAGAAGCCCGCCCCGAAGCCGAAGCCCGCACCCGUUGCCACCUCGAGCGUAGGCAUCGACGACGAGCUCGCCAAGUGGUACGGUGAGUACAGAGAAAUCUGGGGGGCUCGCAGCUGAGAUUGCACUCUUUUCAGGUAACUUGUUCAGUUCUGAAUAUAAGUAUGUAUCUAACUCUGUCUUCUAUUUGUUUCAGGCCCUGACAGGAGGAUCUACUUGCCCAACGGUCUCCUUGACCGGUCGGAGGUGCCGGAGUACCUCAACGGAGAGGUUCCCGGAGAGUAAGUCAUAGGCCUCCCUCCAUUUAGCAGCAUACUUCACAAGUUCUCACAUGACUGAAAUGCUCAUGUAUGUAAGCAUAAGUGAUAUGCAUCUGAACUAAUUGCUUGCUCUCCCUUUGGACUUGCAGCUACGGCUAUGAUCCUUUUGGUCUGGGCAAGAAGCCAGAGGACUUCGCCAAGUAAGUACAGUAGUAAUCUGCAUUUUGCAAGUAUAGACUAAUCUGUGAAGUGUAUUCUAUCAAAUUUCAGAACAUAUUAUCUCGACUAAGCAAUGUUGUCCUGGUAUUCUUUCAAUUCUGCAGGUACCAGGCCUUUGAGCUCAUCCAUGCCAGGUGGGCCAUGCUCGGCGCCGCCGGAUUCAUCAUCCCCGAGGCGCUCAACAAGUUCGGCGCAAACUGCGGCCCCGAGGCCGUUUGGUUCAAGGUAGUAAUUGCUGAAUGCUGGUCGUCAGUUUUCACGGCUUCAGAUUCAGAACUUUGGAAGUUUGAACUCACGGUGCCAUAAACAACAUCCUGCAGACCGGCGCCCUUCUCCUCGACGGCAACACCCUCAACUACUUCGGCAACAGCAUCCCCAUCAACCUGAUCCUCGCCGUCGUCGCCGAGGUCGUCCUCGUCGGAGGCGCCGAGUACUACAGGAUCACCAACGGACUGGUCAGUAUCCUGAAACAUAGAUAUUCGUUGCCGCAGCUAGGCGUCCUUGUACUGACCAACGGUUUCGUCAACUUCUCCGGCAGGAAUUUGAUGACAAGCUCCACCCAGGUGGCCCAUUCGACCCGCUCGGCCUCGCCACCGACCCGGACCAGGCGGCGCUGCUCAAGGUGAAGGAGAUCAAGAACGGGCGGCUGGCCAUGUUCUCCAUGCUGGGGUUCUUCAUCCAGGCCUACGUCACCGGCGAGGGCCCCUUCGAGAACCUGUGCGCGCACCUCAGCGACCCCUUCGGCAACAACCUGCUCACCGUCAUCUCCGGCGCCGCCGAGAGGGUGCCCAGCCUGUGAGCUGGCCGUUAAUUGCCCGUCCGCCGCCGUCGGCUGUUGAUGAUCAGCUGCAUGCGCGCGAUGCAGCAUCAUGUGCUGUGUGAAUUUUACCGGGGAAAAGUAUGAGAGUACGAAUGUGCCGUACGUGUAAAUUAUCAAGGGGCAGAAGAAACAUGACCGUUCUGAUUUCUGAUGGGAGUAUCGGACCACUGCUACUUGAGUAAUUUCUGAAAUGGUUUUCAUCAUCGUUAAAAACCAGAUUGACU